AAUCUGGCAUUGUCAACCCGGCAAAACCUGAUCCAGAAGACAUCUGUAAAUGGCUCACAAUCUUCAUCAUCCAUUGGUUUACAUUCUUCAAUUUCUCCGUAAGUGGAGAAUAGUUGAGAGAGCUGAUCACCACAACCCAACGCCGGAACAUUCCUCACAAUCAAAUAUCUGCAAAAACGUUCGUAAAAAAACUUGGAUUCAUCGCAAACAGUGUAAACACG
rnacentral:misc_RNA from 1 species